rnacentral:rRNA from 1 species
GACGUAGGGCGCGAGCGUUGUCCGGAUUUAUUGGGCGUAAAGAGCUCGUAGGCGGCUUGUCGCGUCGUCCGUGAAAACCUGCGGCUCAACUGCAGGCUGGCGGUCGAUACGGGCAGGCUGGAGUUCGGUAGGGGAGACUGGAAUUCCUGGUGUAGCGGUGAAAUGCGUAGAUAUCGUAAGGAAGACCAGUGGCGAAGGCGGGUCUCUGGACAGUUCCUGGACGCUGACGGGCACGAAGGCCAGGGGAGCAAACGGG